AUUGAACGCUGGCGGCAGGCCUAACACAUGCAAGUCGAGCGGAGCGGCGGAAGGGUGAGUAAUGCCUAGGAAUCUGCCUGGUAGUGGGGGAUAACGUCCGGAAACGGGCGCUAAUACCGCAUACUAUCAGAUGAGCCUAGGUCGGAUUAGCUAGUUGGUGGGGUAAAGGCCUACCAAGGCGACGAUCCGUAACUGGUCUGAGAGGAUGAUCAGUCACACUGGAACUGAGACACGGGCCAGACUCCUACGGGAGGCAGCAGUGGGGAAUAUUGGACAAUGGGCGAAAGCCUGAUGCAGCCAUGCCGCGUGUGUGAAGAAGGCCUUCGGGUUGUAAAGCACUUUCAGCGGGGAGGCGUUACCCGCAGAAGAAGCACCGGCUAACUCCGUGCCAGCCGCCGCGGUAAUUC
rnacentral:rRNA from 1 species